ACUGUGGUACUGUUGAUGUGGUCGCAGUUUAAUAGGGAGAACGAGUGGACCCCGAGAACGAUUACACGCUUCAAGACAUCGUUAGCCACAGAAUCACCCAAUCGCACGACACUUUCCAGACUGUGGUACUGUUUGAUGUGGUCGCAGUUUAAUAGGGAGAACGAGUGGACCCCGAGAACGAUUACACGCAUUCAAGACAUCGUUAGCCACAGAAUCACCCAAUCGCACGACACUUUCCAGACUGUGGUACUGUUUGAUGUGGUCGCAGUUUAAUAGGGAGAACGAGUGGACCCCGAGAACGAUUACACGCAUUCAAGACAUCGUUAGCCACAGAAUCACCCAAUCGCACGACACUUUCCAGACUGUGGUACUGUUUGAUGUGGUCGCAGUUUAAUAGGGAGAACGAGUGGACCCCGAGAACGAUUACACGCAUUCAAGACAUCGUUAGCCACAGAAUCACCCAAUCGCACGACACUUUCCAGGUCAGGGUCUGAAUUCAACGGAAUAGAAUCUUGAACUUGUUUCUCUACACAGGGCACAUGCCUGCAGAAACUUUAUAGUUUGGAAAUACUCCUUUUUUGAAAAGUACACCUUUGUUUUUCCUAGCGUGAUUGUUUUUAUAACUGUGCUGUGAUUUCUUAUGGAGUGAUCUAAUUUUGAAUGGUAUUUUAAUGAAUGAAUAUCAAUAUUUGGUGCAUGUAUUAUGUAAUCAUAUGGGAAUAUACAUCUGUAAGACUGAUUGAUAGUGUCAAUAAUCAUUUUAAACAUUUGACAUAUAACUUGUGUGCUUCUCUACUAAAUAGAGUCAAAUGUUGUGAAUAGGAACACUAUUUUUUUGAUUAUUUCUGUUCUGGUUGUUUCCCUUGAAUUGUGUGAAUUUUUGGAAUUACUAUGAAAUACAAACAAAACACAGGAUACAGUUCAGAAAUGUUGCAUUUAAUUCAUUAAACAUUAUAUUUUAAUAUAACAAAAGCUUUUUGUUUUAUUAUGCAUAUAUUAAAAAACUUAAGGUGGCAGGGGAUAUAUCAGUGAAAGGGGGGUCCAUGAAAAUUACAUAUCUUUAGGGUAGGUGUUACCUAUGGUCUUUAAAAAUCAAUUAGGUAUUUAUAAGAUGUAUUUCUUGUGUUAGGUUGUAGAAAGAAUGUCUCAAAAUUUUGGAAAAAAACAUUACAACUAGCCACAGCUCCCUAGCAAGGAAAUUUUGAAUCUUCAAAAAGGAGGUUUUCACUUUUGUCGGAAGUCAAUAUUUCACGCUGCAGAAACAGAACAAAAUUUUGAAGACUGUGGUACUGUUUGAUGUGGUCGCAGUUUAAUAGGGAGAACGAGUGGACCCCGAGAACGAUUACACGCAUUCAAGACAUCGUUAGCCACAGAAUCACCCAAUCGCACGACACUUUCCAGACUGUGGUACUGUUUGAUGUGGUCGCAGUUUAAUAGGGAGAACGAGUGGACCCCGAGAACGAUUACACGCAUUCAAGACAUCGUUAGCCACAGAAUCACCCAAUCGCACGACACUUUCCAGGUCAGGGUCUGAAUUCAACGGAAUAGAAUCUUGAACUUGUUUCUCUACACAGGGCACAUGCCUGCAGAAACUUUAUAGUUUGGAAAUACUCCUUUUUUGAAAAGUACACCUUUGUUUUUCCUAGCGUGAUUGUUUUUAUAACUGUGCUGUGAUUUCUUAUGGAGUGAUCUAAUUUUGAAUGGUAUUUUAAUGAAUGAAUAUCAAUAUUUGGUGCAUGUAUUAUGUAAUCAUAUGGGAAUAUACAUCUGUAAGACUGAUUGAUAGUGUCAAUAAUCAUUUUAAACAUUUGACAUAUAACUUGUGUGCUUCUCUACUAAAUAGAGUCAAAUGUUGUGAAUAGGAACACUAUUUUUUUGAUUAUUUCUGUUCUGGUUGUUUCCCUUGAAUUGUGUGAAUUUUUGGAAUUACUAUGAAAUACAAACAAAACACAGGAUACAGUUCAGAAAUGUUGCAUUUAAUUCAUUAAACAUUAUAUUUUAAUAUAACAAAAGCUUUUUGUUUUAUUAUGCAUAUAUUAAAAAACUUAAGGUGGCAGGGGAUAUAUCAGUGAAAGGGGGGUCCAUGAAAAUUACAUAUCUUUAGGGUAGGUGU